rnacentral:rRNA from 1 species
AUUGAACGCUGGCGGAAUGCUUUACACAUGCAAGUCGAACGGCAGCACGGGGGGCAACCCUGGUGGCGAGUGGCGAACGGGUGAGUAAUACAUCGGAACGUGCCCAGUCGUGGGGGAUAACGUAGCGAAAGCUACGCUAAUACCGCAUACGAUCUACGGAUGAAAGCGGGGGAUCGCAAGACCUCGCGCGAUUGGAGCGGCCGAUGGCAGAUUAGGUAGUUGGUGGGGUAAAGGCUCACCAAGCCUUCGAUCUGUAGCUGGUCUGAGAGGACGACCAGCCACACUGGGACUGAGACACGGCCCAGACUCCUACGGGAGGCAGCAGUGGGGAAUUUUGGACAAUGGGCGAAAGCCUGAUCCAGCCAUUCCGCGUGCAGGAUGAAGGCCCUCGGGUUGUAAACUGCUUUUUGUACGGAACGAAACGGCCUUUUCUAAUACAGAGGGCUAAUGACGGUACCGUAAGAAUAAGCACCGGCUAACUACGUGCCAGCAGCCGCGGUAAUGUCG